CCACUGCCUCUCCCUUUUUGUGUCUCAUGCGCUCCAUUUGGAUAAGCUGGGUGGGGGAGUGCCUACUUGUUACCUACUUGUUUGAUGUGCACAAAAAGAAGAGUGAGAGAGGGGAAGAGAGAGUGAGUGAUAGAAAAGUUGCACCUACCAAGAUAGUGGAAGAAAGAAGAAGAGGGAAAUUCACAUCACGAGACUGAUCGCAGAGAGAAGAGGGGGACGGAAAGAAGAAGAAGAAGAAGAAGAAGAAGCCGAGAGGGAUGUCUAUGAUUUCUUCUCCUUCUUGGGCUAAAUUGAAAUGUUAUUGUUGGAUGAUCAUGGAUGUCUAUGAUUUCUUUAGCCUCUAGCUUAUUCAGAUGGAUUUUGGUUAGUUAUUGUUGGAUGAUCAUCUCUUAUCUGAGAGGCUAAUUUAAUCGAAUACUGAACUAAGAAGCGUUUGAGGGAGUUAUUCCAAGUAGAUCUUGCAGAUUAUAUGCUGGCUAUUUGCAGAAAUGAUGGUCUUAGGGAGCUUUCUUCUCCAGGGAAGUGCAGCAGCUUCUUUUACUUGACUCAGGAUAAUAGAUUCAUGAUAAAAACUAUCAAAAAAUCGGAAGUCAAGGUGCUAAUAAGGAUGCUUCCAAGUUAUUAUAGACAUAUGUCUCGACACAUUUAGACUGAAGCUGAAGGAGCAUGAAGUACUGUGUGGAUCCUGAAGAGAUCAACAAGCUUCCAAAAGCGAAAGCUCAGAGGAUCGAAAGCGCAGACUAUAGAUAAGGGGUAGGAUGGUCUCAUCAUCUCCUCAAAAUGUCAACUUGAUUGUCUUUCAUGUAAUUUCUAGCUUUUCAACUUCAGAAAAUCGUAAAAAAAAAAAAAUUGGUUUGAGAAUUUCCAGGUCCGUCAAUUGGAACACAUCCUAAAUAUCAUCCUUUAGCAAUCAUGAGAUUUUGGAAUAGGAAUACAUGCACAGAAAAGAGCCUCAGCAUGGUUUAGCAUGUUUGGAGGUGUCACA